AUACGGAGGGUGCAAGCGUUAAUCGGAAUUACUGGGCGUAAAGCGUACGUAGGCGGUUAGUUAAGUUAGAUGUGAAAGCCCCGGGCUUAACCUGGGAACUGCAUUUAAAACUGGCUAACUAGAGUUAAUUAGAGGGGAGUGGAAUUUCAGGUGUAGCGGUGAAAUGCGUAGAGAUCUGAAGGAACACCAGUGGCGAAGGCGACUCCCUGGACUUGAACUGACGCUGAGGUACGAAAGCGUGGGUAGCAAACGGGAUUAGAAACCCCAGUAGUCC
rnacentral:rRNA from 1 species